rnacentral:rRNA from 1 species
AUUGAACGCUGGCGGCAGGCCUAACACAUGCAAGUCGAACGAGUGGCGGACGGGUGAGUAAUGUCUGGGAAACUGCCUGAUGGAGGGGGAUAACUACUGGAAACGGUAGCUAAUACCGCAUACCAUACGAUGUGCCCAGAUGGGAUUAGCUAGUGGGUGGGGUAACGGCUCACCAAGGCGACGAUCCCUAGCUGGUCUGAGAGGAUGACCAGCCACACGUGAGCUGGGACGCGGUCCAGACUCCUACGGGAGGAAGCAGUGGGGAAUAUUGCCUAAUGGGCGCAAGCCUGAUGCAGCCAUUCCGCGUGGAGGAAGAAGGCCUUCGGGUGGUAAAGUACUUUCAGCGGGGAGGCGUUACCCGCAGAAGAAGCACCGGCUAACUCCGUGCCAGCAGCCGCGGUAAUAC